AGGUUGGAGACUACAUAAGACUUUGACAGUUGGCGGGAAACCAUCAUCAACUGGAGAGAUGCCGGAAGAGGAAUGUCUGCGACUAAGUCAAGGGCCACUGGAUAAGGGUUGUUGAUGGCAAAACAGGUUGGAGACUACAUAAGACUUUGACAGUUGGCGGGAAACCAUCAUCAACUGGAGAGAUGCCGGAAGAGGAAUGUCUGCGACUAAGUCAAGGGCCACUGGAUAAGGGUUGUUGAUGGCAAAACAGGUUGGAGACUACAUAAGACUUUGACAGUUGGCGGGAAACCAUCAUCAACUGGAGAGAUGCCGGUAAAAAGAUGGCCAUAAAACAGUGACCGCUGAUUCGCAUUGAGUUCUUUCUUACAUAUUGGAUGACCUAUGUUUUUUAUUGUUUAAAUCAUUGCGGCUUGGAAUGCUCUUUAAGAAAAGGUAUGGUUAUGGGGGUGUCUACGCGCAAAAGUUUGACUUUAUUUUUUGUUAAAGUUAUUGCUUUUACAUUGAAUUUGUGCAGGAAAUCUUUUGGUAUGUUGUGACCU